UACGACCAUAUCGCAUCAAAACAACAGAUUUCUUAUGAUCUCUGAAGUUAAGCAACGCCGAGACUGGUGAGUACCUAGAUGGGUGACCACCUGGGAAU